rnacentral:rRNA from 1 species
AUUGAACGCUGGCGGCAGGCCUAACACAUGCAAGUCGAACGAGUGGCGGACGGGUGAGUAAUGUCUGGGAAACUGCCUGAUGGAGGGGGAUAAAUACUGGAAACGGUAGCUAAUCACGCAUAACAUCAGAUGGGCCCAGAUGGGAUUCGCUAGUUGGUGGGGUAACGGCUAACCAAGGCGACGAUCCCUAGCUGGUCUGGGAGGAUGAACAGCCAACCUGGAACUGAGACACGGUCCAGACUCCUACGGGAGGCAGCAGUGGGGAAUAUUGCACAAUGGGCGCAAGCCGGAUGCAGCCAUGCCGCGUGUAUGAAGAAGGCCUUCGGGUUGUAAAGUACUUUCAGCGGGGAGGCGUUACCCGCAGAAGAAGCACCGGCUAACUCCGUGCCAGCAGCCGCGGUAAUAC